GAGUUUGAUCAUGGCUCAGGACGAACGCUGGCGGCACGCCUAACACAUGCAAGUCGAACGGAGAUAUUUUGGUUUACUGAGAUAUCUUAGUGGCGGACGGGUGAGUAACACGUGAGCAACCUGCCUCUGAGAGAGGGAUAGCUUCUGGAAGCGGAUGGUAAUACCUCAUAACAUAACGAAGCCGCAUGACUUUGUUAUCAAAGAUUUAUCACUCAGAGAUGGGCUCGCGUCUGAUUAGAUAGUUGGUGAGGUAACGGCUCACCAAGUCGACGAUCAGUAGCCGGACUGAGAGGUUGAACGGCCACAUUGGGACUGAGACACGGCCCAGACUCCUACGGGAGGCAGCAGUGGGGAAUAUUGCACAAUGGGGGAAACCCUGAUGCAGCGAUGCCGCGUGGAGGAAGAAGGUUUUCGGAUUGUAAACUCCUGUCUAAAGGACGAUAAUGACGG
rnacentral:rRNA from 1 species